rnacentral:rRNA from 1 species
UACAGAGGGUGCGAACGUUGCUCGGAAUUACUGGGCGUAAAGCGCAUGUAGGCGGAUCCAUAAGUCGGGCGUGAAAUCCCCAGGCUCAACCUGGGAACUGCGUUCGAAACUGUGGGUCUAGAGUGUCGGAGAGGAUGGCGGAGUUCCUGGUGUAGAGGUGAAAUUCGUAGAUAUCAGGAAGAACACCCGUGGCGAAGGCGGCUCUCUGGAACGCAACUGACGCUGAGACGCGAAAGCGUGGGGAGCAAACAGG